GACAUUUGACUAUUUGGGAAACGUGACUUUUAAUCAAGUUGUCCGGGGUUCGAGUCCCCGAUGGCUCA
rnacentral:tRNA from 1 species